rnacentral:hammerhead_ribozyme from 1 species
GUCCAGCUGACGAGUCCCAAAUAGGACGAAUUGCGCUUUAUCCUGGAU